rnacentral:lncRNA from 1 species
GAAACAUUAAAAAUCAAGAUUAGUUAGAUUUUCUGUUAUAAAUGUCACCUUUAACUUGACAAAUGGAGCGGAGCACAUGAUGAAUUGUUGACUUAGGUUAUGAUCCAUGAUAUUAAGUAUUAUGCUUUUUUAUAAAUGUCAUUUAUUUCUAGAUAGAAAACAAACAUGAGUGCACUAAAAAACUCCAAUCCCUUGUUUUACAGGUACCUCUAGUGCAAGUACAGCAGGUCCAGACUGUCCUGGGAAAUCAACCUCUGACAAAGUUUGGAAGCUGAUAACAAAUGUGUGAGCCACCACAUGAGCUCUGUGUAACUGAAUCAAUCAAUGAAGCUACAGAAGUCUCUCAGACCCAACACUCUCACCCAUGUCACCACUUAAUUGCUGCACAUCUGCCUGGCUCCCCAUCCUUCACCCCACACCUCUCCGAGCCCAGACACAGAUGGGUAGACAUGGGGACAGACAGGCCAGGCGCCCCCAGCAAACCAGCCAGUCUUCCAGUCCUGGAACGAAGAGCCUGAUGCAGGAACCCAUGGUAUCCAUUACACACACACACACACACACAUAUACACAAAAACACUCA